AACACGCAUGCGCAUUAAGUGGGCGGAUGUAAUGAUUUCGAUGGGAAGAAAUAAUAUUCAGCAUCGAAGGAAUAACAACUGAAAUCAUCCCGUCCUGCAGCAUGCACCUAUGUGAAUGUGGAGAAUGACCAGCAAUGUCCAAGGGGUAGCAGCAGGGUAACACUGCAUGAGGCGGUGCCCCCUGAAGGAGCCCAAAACACUGCUCUUCAAAUGGAACACAUCCAACCUUCAGGUGACCGUGCAGGAUGUACCACUCUGGAACAUCAAGCCUCUCCCCACCUGCCAGGUACACCCACCGUCUUCUGUGGCUGAAUAAUGUUUUGCUGUGAAUUUUGUCACAAAGCAAAUCCUGCUCAAAUGUGACAAACUUUGGAGUGUAAGAAUGUGAGCGAUAUGCUGAGAUGUUAUACGUUUUGCCUUGUGACAAAAUGUUAUCAAAAAACCUUUAGUGAUUUGUAUUCUAUUUUAAUUUCAGCACAUGAAAAUAUUUCUACUUCUGACCAUCGAAGAGAAUGGAAAACCAUUUUCCAGAUCAGCCCUCAUACAUCCUCCUGAUGGCCUAACAACUGAAUGACAUGUCGAUGCUGAGUAUGAUCCAUUUCAAUCAUUUGAGGAAGCUCUCCCUGAUAUAGGGGAUUGGAUGUACAAUGACGGACAUACGUUUAAUGAAGGAUUUGAAGAUGGUUUGAGUGAGGAGUGUGCAGAAGAGUCCAAUUUCAAGGACACAACAGACAAACCAAUACAUGACAAUGCAUCAGAAACCAUGGCAGAGUGCCUUCUGAUCAGCAUGGGUUAUGUAAACUGUCCUAAAGUCACAGGUAAGGCCCUAAGCCAUAUGCUCAAAAUGUUCAAGUUGCUUUAUCCCGAUAGUCUGAACACAGACUGCUUAAACAGUGUUCCAAAACUUUUUUUUAUCCCACUCUGCAUCAUCGCCUACUAUAUUACAUAAAUCCUCCAAGAAUUGUUUUGGGCCAAUAGAAAGUAAACAAAUAAAAUGCCUGCUUUGUGGGACCAGUGUGUCAGAAGAAAGAUUCUCAUCCUUUUUUUAAAGUAUGUACAGAUUGAUUUCUUGUUUACCACAGCACAUUCAUGUGCCAAAUGGGCCCUCGUUGGUGAAUAUAAACAUGCAGGUUUUUCUUUGCUGCAAGAUAGUGUAACAUAUGAGACAUGCAGUCAUGUUAUUCCCCUAUUGGAAACCUCUGCAGUACAGUAGUAUUCUUGGAUGACAUAUUGGGUAAAGUUGUUUUCCUUGACUUCACAUCUAUGCCUGGCAUAGUGAUUGCAGUUCAUUUCCCCAACACACUUGACAAGUUUGAAAUAAUGAAGAACUGAACUGGCCUAAAAAGCCACAAAUCAAAUCUUUAAUCAUUGUUAUAAAUGCUCUGAAAAUACACACUGAUGUGAUGUUGCCGUGGAUUCUGUAAAUAGGUACUGUAUAUGGAGUAUCAUUGUUGAUGAUGUUUUUGCAUUGUGUGUAAUAUUUCAGUGGCAAAUAUAUUACAUUUACUUGUUUAAUAAAGCCACUGUCUUUUUUAAUGAAUACAUAGGCCUACUAUGCUACUGCAUUUUAAUAUUAGUCCUUAUGAUGGUGGUUGGAGAGCCAAAUAUCUUCUGAAGUGGUACUUUGUUAAAAGAGUUUGAGAACCACUGCUCUAGAAAGUUCACAAAUGUUAAAAGCUCUUACAAAGUGUCUUGUGAUCAUAUCAGUAUUGUUUGGGUUCAGUUUUAAAUCUCACAAUUGUAGUCACUGAGUUACUGUACAUGACGUGUGGAUAAGAAAUCAACAAAUUAAGUCCAACUUUAUUUAAAUAAACCAUUUAGAUUACAGACCAUAUAUCCAUAUUGUCUGAAUUCAUUAUUUUCUCCCAAUGUUGGCAUGAGAUCAACUGGAAUAUGAUUGAGGUAUAACUAAAUUGAGCCCAUUAGAAUGCAUUUUUUUAGAAAACGGGUAUAUCUAACAACUCAAAUAGUGAGCAGUGAGAGACAAAACCAAGUAUAUCUCUCACUGAGACAUCAUUGAGACAUAUUGAAACCAAUACUCAUCAAUUGUCUUUUUGCCGAAAUAGAAAAGAGACAUCUGAGAACUCAAACAGUGAGUAGUGAGAAACAAAACCAGGUGUUUCUCUCACUGAGUCAUAAUUGAGACAUAUUGGAGACCAGCUCAUUCAUCUCUCAUUUUGGUCUUAGUUGAAAUGGGGAAAAGAGAUAACUAUUAGACAACUAUGAGAUCUCUCAUAGUGCUCACUGUGAGCCUUAUUUCUCAGGAGAUACAUUUGAGAAGAAUGAGAAAACUACUUUGGUCUCCAUUAGUGCUCUUUUAUGUCUAGGAGAUAUAUAUAAGACAUACAUGAGAUCUCAUCUUCAAUUUUGCUUUGCUAUGGGAAACAAGUGUUUGAUGAGCAUUCCUCAACUUUUUCGGUCUUUUUUGACACUCGUGCCAGCUUUUUUUAAGCAUGUUGCAGGCAUCAAAUUCCAAAAUGAGCUAAUAUUUGCAAAAAAAAAAAGUUUCUCAGAUCCAACAUCAAAUAUCUUGUCUUUGCAGUCUAUUCAAUUGAAUAUAAGUUAAAAAGGAUUUAAAAAUCAUUGUAUUCUGUUUUUAUUUACCAUUUACACAACGUGCUACUUCACUGGUUUGGGGUUUUGUACAUGUUGACAGUACAUUGCAGUGUUAUUUUGUUACAGCCGUGCCCACUGUGUGAAGUACUUUUGCAAGACUCCUUAGUCAAAAGAAAGGAAGCAAUAAUAUUACACUUCACCAAAGAGCCUGCUGUAAAAGAAAUGACCAUUGAAUGAAGAUACAUACUCAGGUCACCGUGAUCUGAAAAGGAGAGUGAAGAAUGUUUUUGUAUUCCCCAGAUUCUAAUCAUCUUGGAUGAAUAAACAAGCAAUUCCUAAUUUCACUUGGAAAUGUGUUUACUAUAAAAGUGUAGCACUGUUUCCACACAAAAUACCUUCUGUUUUUGAAAAGAUGCCCAUGCGUGUCUUCCAGGUUGAACAUUCCACCCUUUGUGCCUGCCCGGACUGUGCUGGAAGGCCUCGAGUCAGAGGAUGCGUGUGAAGACAAGAAAGCUGUAAAAAAGGAGAUCCAUAGCAAAAAGGGAGCCAAAAAGGACAAAAUGGAAGAGGAGAAUACAGACCUGCUCAGACUUUGCCACACAGUACCGCUGGAGGUGGUGAACUUAGGUAAGAAUCCAUGUUUCAAGGUUGAUCGGGGUGGGGGGAAGACAACGACACAAAGGUGCUCCUCUUAUUUAGACUUUUUGUUUAUGGAGGUGGGAAAGGUUACGAUCCAGAGAAGAAAGACUACUCAGGUUUUGAGGCCUGGUUGCAGUGUUACUAUGUGGAUGGAAUGAAGUCUGUACGCGACCACAAUGGCAGGACUAUGUGGUUCAAAGUAUGCAAACACAUUUUCAUACGUAACAACUAUAUUUGUAGCAUGUAUUGACUAAUAGAAAAUGGUGUCAUUUCAGGGCGAUCCAGGUCCUAUGGCUCCUAAAGGUAAACGCCAGAAAAAAUAGUUGAGAUACCAUUACACAUAAGAGAAAGCUUAGUGUGUCUUUAUCUUUUCUCACACACCAGAAUCAAAGUCUCCAAAGGCCAAAAAGAGAAAAGAUACAGAUGCAGACCAUGAUUAC